rnacentral:rRNA from 1 species
UACGUAGGGUGCGAGCGUUGUCCGGAAUUAUUGGGCGUAAAGAGCUCGUAGGCGGUGUGUCACGUCGGCCGUGAAAACCUGCAGCUUAACUGUGGGCGUGCGGUCGAUACGGGCAUCACUGGAGUUCGGCAGGGGAGACUGGAAUUCCUGGUGUAGCGGUGAAAUGCGCAGAUAUCAGGAGGAACACCGAUGGCGAAGGCAGGUCUUUGGGCCGAUACUGACGCUGAGGAGCGAAAGCGUGGGGAGCGAACAGG